GACCGGCGGACGGGUGAGUAACGCGUGGGUAACCUGCCUCGUACAGGGGGAUAACAGUUGAAAACGGCUGCUAGUACCGCAUAAGCGCACAGUACCGCAUGGUACGGUGUGAAAAACUCCGGAGGUAUGAGAUGGACCCGCGUCUGAUUAGGUAGUUGGUGGGGUAACGGCCUACCAAGCCGACGAUCUCUAGACGACCUGACAGGGUGACCGGCCACGUUGAGGACUGACACACGGCCCAAACUCCUACGGGAGGCAACAAUGGGGAAUAUUGCACAAUGGGGGAAACCCUGAUGCAGCGACGCCGCGAGAGCGAUGAAGUAUUUCGGUAUGCUUAGCUCUAUCAUCAGGGAAGAAAAUGACGGUACCUGACUAAGAAUCCCCGGCUAACUACUUGCCUGCAUCCGCGGCAAUACGUACGGGGCAAGCGAUAUCCGGAUUUACUGGCUGUAAAGGUAGCGUAAACGGCAUGGCAAGCCAAAUGUGAAAGCCCGGGGCUCAGCCCCGGGACUGCAUUUGGAACUGUCAGGCUAGAGGGUCAGAUAGGAAAGCGGAGUUCCUAGUGUAGCGCUGAAAUGCGUAGAUAUUAGGAGGAACACCAGUGGCGAAGGUGGCUUUGUGAAGGAUGACUGAUGUUGAGCAUCGAAAGCGUGGGGAGCAAACAGUAUUAGAUACCCUGGUAGUGCACGCCGUAAAGGAUGAAUAGUAGGUGUCGGGUGGCAAAGCCAUUCGGUGUCGCAGCAAACGCAAUAAGUAUUCCAUAUGGGGAGUACGUUCGCAAGAAUGAAACUCAAAGGAAUUGACGGGGACCCGCACAAGCGGUGGAGCAUGUGGUUUAAUUUGAAGCAACGUGAAGAGCUUUACGUGGUCUUGACAUCCCUCUGACCGCUCUUUAAUAGGAGCUUUCUUUCGGGACAGAGGAGACAGUUGGUGCAUGGUUGUCGUCAGCUCGUGUACGUGAGAUGUUGGGUUAAUUGCCGCAACGAGCGCAACCCCUAUCUUUAGUAGCCAGCAUUUUGGAUGGGUACUGUAGAGAGAUUGCCAGGGAUAACCUGGAGGAAGGUGGGGAUGAGGUCAAAUCAUCAUGCUCAUUAUGACCAGGGCUUCACACGUGAUACAAUGGUGUAAACAAAGGGAAGAGAGCCCGCGAGGGGGAGCAAAUGCCAAAAAUAACGUCUCAGUUUGGAUUGUAGUCUGCAACUCGACUACAUGAAGCUGGAAUCGCUAGUAAUCGAGAAUCAGAAUGUCGCGGUGAAUACGUUGCCGGGUUUUGUACACCCCGCCCGUCACACCAUGGGAGUCAGUAACGCCGGAAGUCAGUGACCCAACCGCAAGGAGGGAGCUGCCGAAGGUGGGACCGAUAACUGG
rnacentral:rRNA from 1 species